GGUACAGUAGUACACCUCUGAUCAGAGUAUAAUCUAUUUGAAUAGUCGUGCCGAUGGUUACGGGCGAACUUCCAGCUUCACUGUGAUUAGUUGAACCUUUAAUGACUUAGGUAAACUGGCUUUCACUUGGGACUACUGCAACGUGGUGUAACGUUGAGUAGUAAUUGGGUUUGUCGCAACGUGGUGUAACGUUGGACAGUGUUGUGGUAUCUUUACAACUGUUUUAUAUUCAAUCCUUUAUUUACUUAAUUACUUUUAUUCAAUUUAAUCUUUGUUAUUCAUUUAAAAUGCUACUUUAU
rnacentral:lncRNA from 1 species